GACGAACGCUGGCGGCGUGCUUAACACAUGCAAGUCGAACGGAAAGGCCCUGCUUUUGUGGGGUGCUCGAGUGGCGAACGGGUGAGUAACACGUGAGUAACCUGCCCUUGACUUUGGGAUAACUUCAGGAAACUGGGGCUAAUACCGGAUAGGAGCUCCUGCUGCAUGGUGGGGGUUGGAAAGUUUCGGCGGUUGGGGAUGGACUCGCGGCUUAUCAGCUUGUUGGUGGGGUAGUGGAUUACCAAGGCUUUGACGGGUAGCCGGCCUGAGAGGGUGACCGGCCACAUUGGUACUGCGAUACGGCCCAGACUCCUACGGGAGGCAGCAGUGGGGAAUAUUGCACAGUGGGCGGAAGCCUGAUGCAGCAACGCCGCGUUCGGGAUGACCGCCUGCUGGUUGUAAACCGCUUUCGCCUGUGACGAAGCUUGAGUGACGGUAAUGGGUAAAGAAGCACCGGCUAACUACGUG
rnacentral:rRNA from 1 species